CCGGCACGGGUGAGUAACACGUAUCCAACCUGCCGUCUACUCUUGGCCAGCCUUCUGAAAGGAAGAUUAAUCCAGGAUGGCAUCAUGAGUUCACAUGUCCGCAUGAUUAAAGGUAUUUUCCGGUAGACGAUGGGGAUGCGUUCCAUUAGAUAGUAGGCGGGGUAACGGCCCACCUAGUCAACGAUGGAUAGGGGUUCUGAGAGGAAGGUCCCCCACACUGGAACUGAGACACGGUCCAA
rnacentral:rRNA from 1 species